rnacentral:rRNA from 1 species
GAUGAACGCUAGCUACAGGCUUAACACAUGCAAGUCGAGGGGCAGCGGUAUCGAAAGCUUGCUUUCGGUAGCCGGCGACCGGCGCACGGGUGAGUAACGCGUAUCGAACCUGCCUCAUACUCAGGAAUAGCCUUGCGAAAGUAAGAUUAAUGCCCGGUGUUUUCAGAGUCCCGUAUGAGGCUUUGAACAAAGAUUUAUCGGUAUGAGAUGGCGAUGCGUCCCAUUAGCUUGUUGGCGGGGUAACGGCCCACCAAGGCAUCGAUGGGUAGGGGUUCUGAGAGGAAGGUCCCCCACAUUGGAACUGAGACACGGUCCAAACUCCUACGGGAGGCAGCAGUGAGGAAUAGUGGUCAAUGGGCGGAAGCCUGAACCAGCCAAGUAGCGUGCAGGAAGACGGCCCUCCGGGUUGUAAACUGCUUUUAGUUGGGAAUAAAACGGGGCUCGUGAGCCCCCUUGCAUGUACCAUCAGAAAAAGGACCGGCUAAUUCCGUG